UGACAGUUAUGAUUGUUAUGUGAGAUGGUGUGUAAUUUAAUAUCUUCUUUCUUUUGUUUCAUAUUAUCUUCUGGAAUUUCCUGUGCCUAAUCAGUGUCAAAUAAAAACUGCAUCAUCAAAAACCCUUACCAAGAUCUCUCUAAUCUAGCAGGACCGAAAGACUGGUCAAAAGAGCAAAAGAGGAAGUCCUCAAGUGGCAUCCCAUUUCCCCCACCAACACAAGAGUAAAUUAACACGGUUGAAUUUGAAGGAACGAAAUUGAAAAAUCUUUGCCCCAUUUUGUGGUUUCAUUGCCAGAGAGGUUUCUCGGAAUUGCCAAAGUCAAAUGGUUUCCUAAUUAUUGAAUCAAAUGGUGGGUUGAACCAACAGCGCUUAUUGCUUGAUUUAAGAAUGCUGUCUACAAAGCACUGAAGCGGGCAACUGAAAAGGAGAUUUCUCAAAGUGCUGAUGUCAUCUGUUGCACAUGUGUUGGUGCUGGAGAUCCUUGAUUGGCAAAUUUUAGGUUCUGCCAGAUAGAGUCAGAUAAGAAUAAGGACCGUCGCUCUAAACAGGAUGACAUACAUACUGGUGGUUCGUGUGGCUAUGCUAUGCACGCUGCAAAAAAGGCAAAAACGGAUGGACAUCCCGUAGAGCGUGCAGUAUUAUUUCAAAUUCUACAUACUCGUAAAGAUGGAUCUGCAGUUAAUCCUGUAAUGAAAGAAAAAAUGGACAAAAUGAAGGAUUUGUUGGUUGACCCUAACAAUCAAUUGCAGUCAUCUGACACAAGUGGUAGUAUUUUAUGGUCAAGAGAUGAUGUGUUUGCAAAAGUGAUGGGUAAGGAGCACAAAGGUCACAUUCGUGGGGUAGGAUUUGGUCCAACCCCAAGUGGUCAAAGUAGCAAGACUGCUCUCACGGACAGUGAAAUACGAUCAAGUCAAGCAAGGGACAACGAAGUUGCACAAUUGAAGGCUUCCUUGGCUACUAUGGAGGAGAAACUAGCAGGUUUUGAUGAAAUGAAGGAAAAACUUAGUAAAUUCGAAGAAAUGGAGCAAAGAAUGGAGCAAAGAAUGGCUCGCAUGUUUCAACAAAUGUAACAAACUACACAAUGCAAUCAGGAUGCUCCUCUGAUCGAACAAUCUCUAGCUCUCCCCAAAUCAUCAGCCGCAUCUUAUCAACCAGGAAGCUUAUAAGUUUUAUCUUGGAGUUCUUGGACUUUUUUGUGUACAGAGAACUAUGGAAGAACAACCGCAUUUCUUGCAAGUGUUGAAAGACAUUUUUAAACACUUUAGAAUUUUGAUUAUAGUAUUAGAUUAAUUUCAGCAGCUGUUUUAUUCAAAUGACCACAUUUUUUUUUUGUUAAUUUUAAGAUGGUGGUUAUAGACAAUGUUAUGUAUUUGAUAAUAUAUUUCUAUGUUAAUAUUAUGUUAGUUUCAAGACA